UCAGAGGUUUUGAGAGGCAUGUGAAACCAGAAAAGACACCAGUGUUCUGGCUACUUGUCACUACCAAACCCCAUAAGCAAUGACAGGGAUUGAAUCUUUAUGGGUGCUUUAUUCAGAUGUCUGGCAAUCUGAGAGGAUGGUGGGUUCACACCCAAAAAAACCAUCUUGUCUUUUUUUCCAGGCCAAGGUUUUUAUAGUAGGGAAUAAACAAGGUGUGGGAAGGGCUUUUAA